GCGCUCAUGGUGAAACGGAUAUCACAGGACUCUUCUAAAGUCUUAUUGUAGGUUCGAUUCCUACUGAGCGUACCA
rnacentral:tRNA from 1 species